rnacentral:rRNA from 1 species
CUCAGGAUGAACGCUAGCGGCAGGCUUAACACAUGCAUUUCGAGGGGCAGCGGGGAUUGUGCUUGCACAAUUUGCCGGCGACCGGCGCACGGGUGCGUAACGCGUAUGCAUCCUACCUGUAACAGGGGGAUAACACUGAGAAAUUGGUACUAAUACCCCGUAACAUCAUUGGAGGCAUCUCUGGUGGUUGAAAGUUCCGGCGGUUACAGAUGGGCAUGCGUUGUAUUAGCUAGUAGGUGAGGUAACGGCUCACCUAGGCGACGAUACAUAGGGGGACUGAGAGGUUAACCCCCCACAUUGGUACUGAGACACGGACCAAACUCCUACGGGAGGCAGCAGUGAGGAAUAUUGGUCAAUGGGCGCAAGCCUGAACCAGCCAUGCCGCGUGCAGGAUGACGGCUCUAUGAGUUGUAAACUGCUUUUGUAUAAGGGUAAAAUUGGGUACGUGUACCCAACUGAAAGUACUAUACGAAUAAGGGUCGGCUAACUCCGUGCCAGCAGCCGCGGUAAUACGGAGGACCCAAGCGUUAUCCGGAUUUAUUGGGUUUAAAGGGUGCGUAGGCGGUUUGGUAAGUUAGAGGUGAAAUUUUUAGGCUCAACCUAUACAUUGCCUCUGAUACCUGCCGAGCUAGAGAGUAGUUGCUGUGGGCGGAAUGUAUGGUGUAGCGGUGAAAUGCAUAGAGAUCAUACAGAACACCGAUUGCGAAGGCAGCUCACAAAACUAUAUCUGACGUUGAGGCACGAAAGCGUGGGUAGCAAACAGGAUUAGAUACCCUGGUAGUCCACGCAGUAAACGAUGAUAGCUCGUUGUCGGCGAUACACAGUCGGUGACUUAGAGAAAUCGAUAAGCUAUCCACCAGGGGAGUACGUUCGCAAGAAUGAAACUCAAAGGAAUUGACGGGGGCCCGCACAAGCGGAGGAACAUGUGGUUUAAUUCGAAGCAACGCGAAGAACCUUACCAGGCCUUGACAUCGUGAUGACCGCCCCUUAAUCGGGGCUUCCCUUCGGGGCAUCACAGACAGGUGGUGCAUGGUUGUCGUCAGCUCGUGUCGUGAGGUGUUGGGUUAAGUCCCGCAACGAGCGCAACCCCUACUGCUAGUUACUAACAGGUAAAGCUGAGGACUCUAGCGGAACUGCCGGUGACAAACCGGAGGAAGGUGGGGAUGACGUCAAGUCAUCAUGGCCCUUAUGUCCAGGGCUACACACGUGCUACAAUGGUUGGUACAGAGUGAAGCGAAGCCGUGAGGUGGAGCAAAACGCAUAAAACCAAUCGUAGUUCGGAUUGGAGUCUGAAACUCGACUCCAUGAAGUUGGAAUAGCUAGUAAUCGCACAUCAGCACGGUGCGGUGA